UACGAAGGGGGCUAGCGUUGCUCGGAUUUACUGGGCGUAAAGGGCGCGUAGGCGGACAGUUAAGUUGGGGGUGAAAGCCCGGGGCUCAACCUCGGAAUUGCCUUCAAUACUGGCUGUCUUGAGUGUGAGAGAGGUGUGUGGAACUCCGAGUGUAGAGGUGAAAUUCGUAGAUAUUCGGAAGAACACCAGUGGCGAAGGCGACACACUGGCUCACUACUGACGCUGAGGCGCGAAAGCUAGGGGAGCAAACAGG
rnacentral:rRNA from 1 species